rnacentral:lncRNA from 1 species
UUGAUGUUUUGCCUAGGAAACAGCUUGUCAGAAAUAGAUCUAUUUAUAUGUGUUUAAUAGAAGUUUUUCCUCUCCAAAACGCUUGUCAUCUGUAACCAACACAAACAUUUACGUUUUUUACUACGUAUUUCAGUUCCUAAGUUGGUUGUUGACUACAAAGCACCCUCCUGAGCAUCUGACCUAGUUUGAAGCAUCAAACAUCCACCCAAGUGCUGUGCACAGAGAGGCUUUUGGAGGCUGCUGUUGGAGAUGCUGGCAGAAACUUCCAGGAGAGUUUUUUCCAAAAGGAAGGAUUUGGUAUCAGAAAUGUUUCUGUACAUGCAUGGGUGAAACUGUAUUCUUUUUACUGCAGGAUGUCAUCAGAUUGGAUUUCCUGCUGAAAUGCAGCAAGGACAGAGGCAGCUGUUCCAGCUGUACCACACCAUCGGGCAAUUCCCUCAUACGUUUUUUCAGCUCCUAUCACUGAUCAGGACUGAACACGUGGAUUAUCUGAUCUCCUGUGGUUGUUGAGGGAAUC